rnacentral:rRNA from 1 species
UGGGGAAUCUUGGUCAAUGGGCGAAAGCCUGAACCUGCGACGCCGCGUGAGUGAUGAAGGUCGUAAGAUCGUAAAACUCUUUUCAGGGAUCUUAACGCACAGCUGUCAACAACAGCUGUGUCUGACUCUCCCUGGAAGAAGCCCCAGCCAACUACGUGCCCGCAGCUGCGGUAAUACGUAGGGGGCGAGCGUUAUUCGGACUUACUGGGUGUAAAGGGUAUGUAGGCGGCCCUUCAAGUCGCGUGUCAAAGUCCAGUGCGCAAC